rnacentral:rRNA from 1 species
UACGUAGGGACCGAGCGUUGUCCGGAAUCAUUGGGCGUAAAGAGCGUGUAGGCGGCCACUUAAGUCCUGCGUGAAAUCUUGCGGCUCAACCGCAAGCGGUCGUGGGAAACUGGGUGGCUAGAGUGCGGGAGAGGAGAGUGGAAUUCCUGGUGUAGCCGUGGAAUGCGCAGAUAUCAGGAAGAACACCCGUGGCGAAGGCGGCUCUCUGGAACGCAACUGACGCUGAGACGCGAAAGCGUGGGGAGCGAACAGG